UACGUAAGGACCGAGCGUUGUCCGGAAUCAUUGGGCGUAAAGGGUACGUAGGCGGUUCGUUCAGUCUGAUGUGAAAGCCCACGGCUUAACCAUGGAAUGGCAUUGGAAACUAACGAACUUGAAUUCAGAAGAGGAAAGCGGAAUUCCAUGUGUAGUGGUGAAAUACGUAGAGAUAUGGAAGAACACCAGUGGCGAAGGCGGCUUUCUGGUCUGAAAUUGACGCUGAGGCUCGAAAGCGUGGGGAGCAAACAGG
rnacentral:rRNA from 1 species